rnacentral:rRNA from 1 species
CCUACGGGUGGCAGCAGUGGGGAAUAUUGCACAAUGGGGGGAACCCUGAUGCAGCGACGCCGCGUGAGUGAAGAAGUAUUUCGGUAUGUAAAGCUCUAUCAGCAGGGAAGAAAAUGACGGUACCUGACUAAGAAGCCCCGGCUAACUACGUGCCAGCAGCCGCGGUAAUACGUAGGGGGCAAGCGUUAUCCGGAUUUACUGGGUGGAAAGGGAGCGCAGACGGCUGUGCAAGUCUGGAGUGAAAGGCGGGGGCCCAACCCCCGGACUGCUCUGGAAACUGUAAAGCUGGAGUGCAGGAGAGGUAAGCGGAAUUCCUAGUGUAGCGGUGAACUGCGUAGAUAUUAGGAGGAACACCAGUGGCGAAGGCGGCUUACUGGACUGCAACUGACGUUGAGGCUCGAAAGCGUGGGGAGCAAACAGGAUUAGAUACCCCUGUAGUC